rnacentral:rRNA from 1 species
CCUACGGGAGGCAGCAGUGGGGAAUAUUGGACAAUGGGCGAAAGCCUGAUCCAGCAAUGCCGCGUGAGUGAUGAAGGCCUUAGGGUUGUAAAGCUCUUUUACCCGGGAUGAUAAUGACAGUACCGGGAGAAUAAGCUCCGGCUAACUCCGUGCCAGCAGCCGCGGUAAUACGGAGGGAGCUAGCGUUAUUCGGAAUUACUGGGCGUAAAGCGCACGUAGGCGGCUUUGUAAGUUAGAGGUGAAAGCCUGGAGCUCAACUCCAGAAUUGCCUUUAAGACUGCAUCGCUUGAAUCCAGGAGAGGUGAGUGAAAUUCCGAGUGUAGAGGUGAAAUGCGUAGAUAUCGGGAGGAACACCAGUGGCGAGGGCGGCCCUCGGGGCCCUCCCUGACGCUGAGGCGCGAAAGCGGGGGGAGCAAACCGGAUUAGAUCCCCGGGUAGU